UACGUAGGGUGCGAGCGUUAAUCGGAAUUACUGGGCGUAAAGCGUGCGCAGGCGGUUUUGUAAGCCAGAUGUGAAAGCCCCGGGCUUAACCUGGGAAUGGCAUUUGGGACUGCAAGGCUUGAGUGCGGCAGAGGAGACUGGAAUUCCUGGUGUAGCAGUGAAAUGCGUAGAUAUCAGGAAGAACACCCGUGGCGAAGGCGGCUCUCUGGAACGCAACUGACGCUGAGACGCGAAAGCGUGGGGAGCAAACAGG
rnacentral:rRNA from 1 species